CAUAACAUUAAAGGAACACUCAUUUUCCAACUCCCCUAGAGUUAAACAGUUGAGUUUUACUGUUUUCAAAUCCAUUCAGCCGAUCUCCGGGUCUGGCGGUACCACUUUUAGCAUAGCUUAGCAUAGUUCAUUGAAUCUGAUUAGACCGUUAGCAUCUCACACAAAAAUGACCAAAGAGUUUCAAUAUUUUUCCUAUUUAAAACUUGACUCUUCUGUAGUUACAUCAUGUACUAAGACCGACAGAAAAUGAAAAGUUGCGAUUUUCUAGGCCGAUAUGGCUAAGAAUACUCUUAUUCCGGCGUAAUAAUCAAGGAACUUUGCUGCCGUACCAUUGGUGCAGCAGGCGCAAUGAUAUUAUGCAGCGUCUCUCAUAAAUGUCUCCAUGGUUGCAAGGCAGUCAAAGAAAACCUGCAUAAACAGAACAGAGCGGAACGCAUGCAAGCUACAGAGACAAUGGAGGCCUAUAUAGAUGACAGAUUGUGCGAAGAGGUUAGUAAGUACCCUCAUUUGUACAAUUCUAGCAUGAAAGAAUACAAAUAUAUUUACAUGGGUUGUAACUCGUGGUGACAGAUUGCUCAAAACUGCGCAUGCAUUGAACGCCUGUGUAUGCGUACGAGUCAGAUGAAGUAUACUUUGCAUUCGACUAGCAUAGGCGUAAAAAAACAAUGUAUGACUGAAUGCAAACAUCAUGCUGGAUGAAAAAAGCUGGUUUGCGUCACUCUAAAAAUUUGAUAAAAUUACAGAAUUUGCUAUGAUUAUAUGAACAUUUCAAAACAGUAUUAAAAAACGUAAAGUUGACAUGUCCAUGUAAGCUAACUCCCAUUCUGUCAAUGGGAAAAGGUUAACUUUAGCAGUUAAUUUCUAUUCUGUUAGGUUCCAUCCUGUUCAUUUUCUUGCAAAUGUGUAAACUUUGAUCAGUCUCAUAUACAGUAUUAUAGAAAUACUUCCUUAUGCAAGCUUAUUCAUUUUUUAUUUUUUAAAAAGUUACAGAGUUCAAAAGGUAUUGCAUAACAGGAAUGGCCCAUGCAGCAACUCUGUUAGCAUUUAAAGUAAUUAUACUAUGUUAGUCAACCAGCUAAUGGUGUGGCUUCCUGUUUUUUGCUUCCACAAUACUGUAGCAAUAACAACGAUUUUUCAGUUGGUGAGUUGAAGAAGAGAGAAAGAUGGCUUUUCGAAGACAAUUCCUCAUUUUUAUCUCAUAUGGAGAGCAGAUGGCAGGCCUGCAUCAGUGCAGGAGGCUUUCUGGGAUGACAGCCAUGAGAUUCCCCCUCAGGUGCCAUUGGAGCCCUCAUGUGCCGGGAGUGUGAUGGUUGGGACAUGGCACCUCCUCGUGAAAGAAUGGCUCUCUGUUCGCCUCCCUUUCUCACUUCGUAAUGGUGCUUGCUAACAACCUAAUAUUUCAAGUGUAUGUGUGCACACAUAGAGGCUCAAACAGUAUGGACUCUCUUCUCUCCUACUCUAACAGUCUAUUUCUUUGUGUGCGGGGUAUGAAAACACUUAAAAUCCUUUGUUAUGAGGGAUUCGGGUCAAGAUCUAAGAACAGAAUUAUCUUCUGUAAUGGACAUUAACUAAUUGUCUAUGGAUAGUAUUUGUGACAGAAAUUUCAACUCGCCCCUCAGUGUGUAUAAAUGAAUGAGAAACACAUUUAUGCUAAUACACUUCAUAUUGGAGGUUUUAGAACCAGAAAUGCAAAGCCUGUGUUAUUAACUUUAGUUUUAUUAUUCUAGCUAGCCAUGCUGUAUAAUCAAAAGAUUAUACAUAAUUUUGUGAUUCUUUUGCACUAGUGUCAAGCUAACAUGUUUAAAAAAAAAAAUGUUCAAGUAUCAUAUUUUUGAAAUAGUGUGAUAAUUGUAUAUUAGCAAUGCUUUACGAUUGCCUGCUAGGACUUCAGUGUGGAUAUAUAAAUGUUAACAUGUUUUCUGUCCUUAGAAACCAAGGUCUGUGGUAAUUGACAACAUGCACAAUUUAAAUGCACCAUGUGUCCUAACCAUGUUCAUGUCACAGGCCAUUUCACUGUGACAGGGAGUGUCUUACAGAGAAAAUGCAGUAUGUACAAAAAUAUUCGCAAUAUCAGAGAGAACAUGUGGAUCCUCUACCAAAACCCUCCUGCAUUUUUGAUGACUCGACCUUCUGUCCUCUUUUGGAGAUGAAGUGCCUCAUAAGGAGAGAAAUGGUGACCAGCAACAGUUCGGCCCCAUUAAGGCAGCACGUCAAAUAUUAAUUCUGCCGUAUAUUCUUCAUAUUGGACAGACUGCAUCAACUAGGCUCAUUUCUGCAUUUUUAAUUGUUGUUUUUUACUCAGAGCUCAUCCUUGGGGAGGCAGUCCAGUCUCUCCGAAAGGCUAUAAAUCUGCAUGUCUGUUUGGAAGGAAAUCCAAAAAGAUCUCUUUCCGGCUUCCCGUAGUGCGGGGUGGUUUGAUGGUAUCAGCAUUGAGGAGCAACUGACUAACGCUACUAACUUACAGAAGAUGGCGGAGCUUUAACAGUUCGCGUUUCGGUUGCUCAACAACAACAAAGCUGGAGAAAAUGAGGAUUGUCAGUAACGGUGUUCAGCCUUACAUUGCUCAAACCGGAGUCGGACACUGAUGGAGAGACUCAGGAAGAAGUUACAACUUUUACAAUGAAACUGGACGUUUCUGAACGGCUGCAUUUCACUAGCAUCAAGCCUACGUUUCAGAAGAAAGAAGACUUUUCAUUUUUGCCAGGACUGCACUACCAACUUGUGAGACACCACAGGACUCUGAAAUGAGCCUUUAGAGGUUUAUAGAGUUGUAUCAGUUAAGUUAUAGGGAAUAUGCUUUUAUGCAUACAAUAUAUUUAUGGAAUAUGCAUACAAGUAUUUGUGGCUGGAGGGGAAACCAGGUCAUUCUCAUGCAGAUGGGAUACUAAAAGACCCUCCAGCAUCUCCACUGUGCUCAAUACUCUGCAUGAAAAAGGUAAUGCAACUUCACUGGUUUACUGACACUCAGCAAGUGAGAUUAAAUGGCUGGGAAAAUUCGCCAUUACAGCUCCGGAUGACGAUGAGUGAAUCUGUGCACCAGGGGUUAAUAGCACAGUAAAUCAUCAGAAACAUUUUUCAGGUUGCGUGACUUUAUUCCUUUUUAAUUUUGUUGUUUUUCCCCCCUUUUGUUUCUUGAUUUUGUCUUCAGUCUCAGUUUUUUCCCCAUUAAAGACCCCCCCCCAACUCCUGUCUUAAAGUGAUGCUUUUGUUGCAUUCCAAGAGGUUGAUAAAUCAAUCCAUCAAAAAAUUCUUUGCGGUGAAACUCAAUCAAGAAAGGUCAUGUCGCCGGGAAAAGAACAGAUUAAAUUAGCAUUGAAUUAGACAUGGAAAGUGAGCUCUGUCAAAACCAUCACCGAGCUCAGCACAAUUAGAAUAUGUUAAUUAUGCAUUUCAUUAAGGGCCCAGGCGCUCUUUGAAUGUGAGAUGAAAUGUCACUGGUGUAGGCAGCCGAAAAAUGGAAGAUUGCCAGGCACAACUUUCUUUGUGCAAUGUGUGACACCUUCAUUAACAUCAGGGAUUGCUGCUCUGAUUAGACUUUUUGUAUUAGUGGAAGCCUAAGGCCUUCAAAUGCUUCGGGUUUUUUCCACCCUGACUGCAAAAAGGACAUUGUCUGUGGACACUUGAGUGAAUUUACAAACCAUAACACCAACAAUACAACUUGUAAUUCCUACACA